CACGUAGGGGGCAAGCGUUGUCCGGAUUUAUUGGGCGUAAAGAGCUCGUAGGCGGUUCGCUAAGUCGGGUGUGAAAACUCUGGGCUCAACUCAGAGACGCCACCCGAUACUGGCGUGACUCGAGUCCGGUAGGGGAGCAUGGAAUUCCUGGUGUAGCGGUGAAAUGCGCAGAUAUCAGGAAGAACAUCGGUGGCGAAGGCGCUCUGCUGGACCAUAACUGACACUCAGGGACGAAAGCUAGGGGAGCGAAUGGG
rnacentral:rRNA from 1 species